ACGCUAGCGGCAGGCCUAACACAUGCAAGUCGAGGGGUAAUUUUCCCGAGCAAUCGGGAAGAACGACCGGCGCACGGGUGAGUAACGCGUAUGCAACCUACCUUUAACUGGGGAAUAGCCCGAAGAAAUUCGGAUUAAUACCCCAUAAUAUUUUGGAAUCACAUGGUUUCAUAAUUAAAGUUCCAACGGUUAGAGAUGGGCAUGCGUGACAUUAGUUAGUUGGUGAGGUAACGGCUCACCAAGACGAUGAUGUCUAGGGGGUCUGAGAGGAUGGUCCCCCACACUGGUACUGAGACACGGACCAGACUCCUACGGGAGGCAGCAGUGAGGAAUAUUGGGCAAUGGACGCAAGUCUGACCCAGCCAUGUCGCGUGCAGGAUGACAGUCUUAUGGGUUGUAAACUGCUUUUAUACAGGAAGAAACCCCCCGACGUGUCGGGGGCUGACGGUACUGUAUGAAUAAGCAUCGGCUAACUCCGUGCCAGCAGCCGCGGUAAUACGGAGGAUGCAAGCGUUAUCCGGAUUUAUUGGGUUUAAAGGGUGCGUAGGCGGGAGAUUAAGUCAGUGGUGAAAUCCUGCAGCUUAACUGCAGAACUGCCAUUGAUACUGGUUUCCUUGAGUACAGUUGAGGUGGGCGGAAUGUGUAGUGUAGCGGUGAAAUGCUUAGAUAUUACACAGAACACCAAUUGCGUAGGCAGCUCACUAAACUGUUACUGACGCUGAGGCACGAAAGCGUGGGGAGCAAACAGGAUUAGAUACCCUGGUAGUCCACGCUGUAAACGAUGAUCACUCGUUGUUGGCGAUAUACAGUCAGCGACUAAGCGAAAGCAUUAAGUGAUCCACCUGGGGAGUACGAUCGCAAGAUUGAAACUCAAAGAAU
rnacentral:rRNA from 1 species